rnacentral:lncRNA from 1 species
AUGGCAGAGGAUGCAGGAUACACGCGAUCCACGUAUGGAACACGACUGAAGGGCUUACCAGCCUCCUCCUGCCUGCUGUGCAGGUGCCUGGACAGCGUGGUCAUGGUUUCGCACACGUCCUCCUGUGCUUCCUGCGGAACUGAUCUCACCCUGAACUUCGGAGCUGGUCUUGAUUGGUGUAGGGCUAUCCCAACCCUCUCACCACCAUUAUUGGUUCAGGAACUCAGCCCAGGAAAGCUGAAAACACAAGUGCAGCAAAACAAGGCUGGAAUGGCCCUUCCCGCGGAGGAGAGAGAGAGGGAAGUUGUUCAGGAAGCCAAGCAAAGGCAAUCAGAAAUUGAGGACCCAUCUCCAAGGAAAACACAAAUAACGCAGUCAGCCUGGGCUGGAUCAACUGAAUCUAGACGUGGUGGAAGAUCAGGUGUGGCAGAGGCUGAAGAACCCAAGAGGUUGCUGAUCUUCCUGGAUACAAUGAAUGGUGGGCAUGCUCUUUCCCUGGUGACAGUCAAGGACUUCAGGAGCUGAGCCGUCUCAAUCUUUCCAUGGUGAAGCAUUUUGGAGACAGGUAGGACAUCUCAGGUGUGUGGCCUUGUGCAACCCUCCUUGCUUGCUUGUUCUCUGCUUCCUGCGGAUACCUUGUAAAUCAAACAGGUAGUCUGGUACCAAGGAUGCCAGCACUCCCUCUUCCCUGAACAACUAAUGCCUUUAUAAAUCAAGCUGUAGCAGGUUCACAGUUGGUAAAAUUGGUGUCUGGCCAUACAGCGAGGGUAUAUUCAAGAGUAUAAAAUGUAUUCAGUAUCUUUCUUUGCUCGGCAUUUCAUAUCUUUGUCCUCUGUACUCAAAGAUGUCAAUGCUGACAGCGUUCAUGAUAUUAAUGAAGAGAGCCAGGGAGG